GGGGAAAGGUAGCUUGCUACCUGACCUAGCGGCGGACGGGUGAGUAAUGCUUAGGAAUCUGCCUAUUAGUGGGGGACAACAUUCCGAAAGGGAUGCUAAUACCGCAUACGCCCUACGGGAGAAAGCAGGGGAUCUUCGGACCUUGCGCUAAUAGAUGAGCCUAAGUCAGAUUAGCUAGUUGGUGGGGUAAAGGCCUACCAAGGCGACGAUCUGUAGCGGGUCUGAGAGGAUGAUCCGCCACACUGGGACUGAGACACGGCCCAGACUCCUACGGGAGGCAGCAGUGGGGAAUAUUGGACAAUGGGGGGAACCCUGAUCCAGCCAUGCCGCGUGUGUGAAGAAGGCCUUUUGGUUGUAAAGCACUUUAAGCGAGGAGGAGGCUACUUAGAUUAAUACUCUAGGAUAGUGGACGUUACUCGCAGAAUAAGCACCGGCUAACUCUGUGCCAGCAGCCGCGGUGAUACAGAGGGUGCGAGCGUUAAUCGGAUUUACUGGGCGUAAAGCGUGCGUAGGUGGCUUCUUAAGUCAGAUGUGAAAUCCCUGAGCUUAACUUAGGAAUUGCAUUCGAUACUGGUAGGCUAGAGUAUGGGAGAGGAUGGUAGAAUUCCAGGUGUAGCGGUGAAAUGCGUAGAGAUCUGGAGGAAUACCGAUGGCGAAGGCAGCCAUCUGGCCUAAUACUGACACUGAGGUGCGAAAGCAUGGGGAGCAAACAGGAUUAGAUACCCUGGUAGUCCAUGCCGUAAACGAUGUCUACUAGCCGUUGGGGCCUUUGAGGCUUUAGUGGCGCAGCUAACGCGAUAAGUAGACCGCCUGGGGAGUACGGUCGCAAGACUAAAACUCAAAUGAAUGAACCGGGG
rnacentral:rRNA from 1 species